GACGAACGCUGGCGGCGUGCUUAACACAUGCAAGUCGAGCGGAAAGGCCACUUCGGUGGUACUCGAGCGGCGAACGGGUGAGUAACACGUGAGUAAUCUGCCCCUGGCUUUGGGAUAGCCACCGGAAACGGUGAUUAAUACCGGAUACGACCACUUCUCGCAUGGGAUGGUGGUGGAAAGUUUUUUCGGCCAGGGAUGUGCUCGCGGCCUAUCAGCUCGAUGGUGAGGUAAUGGCUCACCAUGGCUUCGACGGGUAGCCGGCCUGAGAGGGUGACCGGUCACACUGGGACUGAGACACGGCCCAGACUCCUACGGGAGGCAGCAGUGGGGAAUAUUGGACAAUGGGCGGAAGCCUGAUCCAGCAACGCCGCGUGAGGGAUGACGGCCUUCGGGUUGUAAACCUCUUUCAGCAGGGACGAAGCGCAAGUGACGGUGCCUGCAGAAGAAGCACCGGCCAACUACGUGCCAGCCGCCGCGGUAA
rnacentral:rRNA from 1 species